CCACAGACCAAUGCCUUACUUAACUGUUCACUGAAGCACAAGAUAGACUCUGCUCCUCUCCACAGAUUUGAUCCCAGGAUCAGCUCCGUGUGCGUAAAAAGGGUGUACCUGAGGCUCUAACAACUACUCCAGACUAUUUCAAAUUGCCUUUCCCCGCUUAUGCCCGGCUCCUUUUCAGGAACAGUAAUAUUAAAGCACACUUGCAGGCAGAAGCUGCUGCCAGAAAAGGAUGAACAUAGGCAAGGUGAUGCUUGCCCACCUCACAGGGACACGCACAUCUUACAGAAGCAGCCCGGGUAGAGCUACCUAAGCAUGGCCUGGCCUAGGUUUGACUUCGUCUUCCUCACUCAAUAGCCACUUUUACAGGCUCGUUUGUGAAAUUCACCUCUCUUAGACCCUGAAGGUUUCAGGUCUACACCACAGGAAGAAGUUUCACCAUAUUCCUACAAAAGUAAGGAUUCCACCAGGUAUGGCUUUUUUUAUCCUUUAACCUCUCUGCUCACCUGUUUAAUUAUUUUUUAUUGUGACACUGACAAAGAUGCAGGGGGGUGGCCAAAAAAAGGUGACAGGCUGAAUGAGAAAAGGCUCCUGCAAAGGGCAGGGUUUCCAACUGUCUGGAGAGAAAAAGAUGUCCUGUCCUUUUAAGAGAGGCUUAAUGGGAUG